rnacentral:rRNA from 1 species
AAAACAUGUCUCUUUGAGUAUUAUUAAUAGGGAGUUGGGCCUGCUCGGUGAGAAGAAAAAUUUAACAGCUGCGGUAUUAUAACUGUACUAAGGUAGCAUAAUAAUUUGCCUUAUAAAUUGAGGCUAGAAUGAAUGGUUUGACGAAAAUUAGGCUGUCUUUAUUUUAUUUAUUAGAAAUUAAUUUUUAUAGUGAAAAAGCUUGGAUAAUUUAAAGGGACGAGAAGACCCUAUUGAGCUUGAUUAUUAAUAUUUAAAUAUAAGGUAGAUUAUUUUAUUUAUGAGUAGUAUGUAAUAUAAAUUAAGUAUAUUUAAUGUUAGUUAAUUUUGAUUGGGGUGAUCAAGGAAUAAAAGUAGAAAUAACUUCCUUAAAGUUUUGUGAUUGUUUAUGGAUUAAUAAACCGAAAUUUUUUGCUUAUAAGAUAAGUUACCAUAGGGGUAACAGCGUAAUUUUUUUUGAGAGUUCUUAUUGAGAAAAGAGAUUGCGACCUCGAUGUUGGAUUAAAAUUACCUUAAGGUGUAGAGGCUUUAUUAGGUAAAUCUGUUCGAUUUUUAAAAUUUUACGUGAUC